UUGUUAUUAUUAUUAUUUUCCAUGUUUACUCAACUAGCCAAAACUUAAGAUUCCGGGUACCCAAACCCGUCAUCCAAUUCAAAGGAUUUACAUCCAUCGUGAUCUGAUUAUAUAUGAUUCCUAUAAUGAAACUUGUAUCCUCUGCAGGAUACCCGAGCCAACUACUCUCUACCACACUCUACAGUCCCAUCUGGGGCACUAUUUUGUUCGUCACUAUUAUUAAUAAUAACCUUCGAUCCCUUCUAAAAAGAUAGGCUAUACCCUAAUUUACUGCAAUAAAGGUACUACAUUUACUACCUUGCCAAAACCACGUCAAAUUAAUGACUCUCUUAUCAUAUCAUAGCUUGUAAAUCAUCAAUUCAUAGUUCCAACCUUCCCUAGGUAAUAGGGUUGUACUUUAUUCCUUACUAAUACACACAAGGUAUACUAUUCUCACUAAACUCUAAGCAAAACGUCAGUCGUACUACAAAAAUGAUCCAAAAUUCCAUACUGAAGACUAGAUGAUCUCACUCUAUAAGUGUCACCUUUACUUUGCAACUAGUCCGAAACCUCUGGUCUGAUGGCAACUCUUAAUGCAACUUUAGCUCAUGCUAGGGUAACCGAGUCAUUGACUCUAGUUACCACCUAACUGUAACCUUUCGAUAUUCUAGCUCUAGACUCUUAACCAGGAGUUCCCAACUCCUCUGCAAAUAUAGAACUCUGUUCUGGCAUAAUUGUACCAAAACAGAAGCCAUCCGCAAACACCCUCAUUAUGGAGCACCACGGGGAUGCACGCAGCUCUACACAAUAAUCUCAUGUCGGUACUGUAAUCUGCAGCUUACAGAGCAGACAUCGAGAACAUUGUAUAGUUACUACGAUACGUCCUGACAGACUAGGUCUCUUAAUCUCUUAUCUCUCUUGAAUUUUUCUAUUAUCAUAAACUUAUUCUGACUGGGUCAUCCACUGAUGACUGCCAGCAGUGGUAUCCUCAUCCUUAUCUAGGGCAACUGUACUUUUAAGACUCACUUUUAUGUACUCGUGCCUUGCACGAAAUGGGCACACCAUUUAAACCCAUACUGACAAAAAUAUAACAUUUCUUGGAGUACGUAUCCUCAUGAUAGACCUCACAUGUCUACUAACUCUAUUUCACAUUUCUAUGUACUCCACGAAAAUCAAGACACUAAUUGAGGCACUUUUAUAUUUCCCGAGGUAUAACGCAGAAUCUAGAAACAAAGAAUUACAGAAAAAGACGAAACAGAAUCCUAUACUCCGCAUGUAACAUCCUAACAAGACUCCUUUUACACUCCUAAUUAUAUUAUUUCCCAUGAAUCUAGAGCCUAAGCUCUGAUACCAACUUUGUCACGACCCAACCUAUGGGC
rnacentral:misc_RNA from 1 species